GCAGAGCACUCCUACCGGGAGGCAGCAGUGGGGAAUAUUGCACAAUGGGCGCAAGCCUGAUGCAGCCAUGCCGCGUGUAUGAAGAAGGCCUUCGGGUUGUAAAGUACUUUCAGCAGUGAGGAAGGUGGGUAUGUUAAUAGCAUAUUCACUUUGACGUUAGCUGCAGAAGAAGCACCGGCUAACUCCGUGCCAGCAGCCGCGGUAAUACGGAGGGUGCGAGCGUUAAUCGGAAUUACUGGGCGUAAAGCGCAUGCAGGUGGUUUGUUAAGUCAGAUGUGAAAGCCCCGGGGCUCAACCUCGGAAUUGCAUUUGAAACUGGCAAACUAGAGUACUGUAGAGGGGGUAGAAUUUCAGGUGUAGCGGUGAAAUGCGUAGAGAUCUGAAGGAAUACCGGUGGCGAAGGCGGCCCCCCUGGACAGAUACUGACACUCAGAUGCGAAAGCGUGGGGAGCAAACAGGAUUAGAUACCCUGGUAG
rnacentral:rRNA from 1 species